rnacentral:rRNA from 1 species
CCUACGGGAGGCAGCAGUGAGGAAUAUUGGUCAAUGGACGAGAGUCUGAACCAGCCAAGUAGCGUGAAGGAUGACUGCCCUAUGGGUUGUAAACUUCUUUUAUAUGGGAAUAAAAUGUUCCACGUGUGGGAUUUUGUAUGUACCAUAUGAAUAAGGAUCAGCUAACUCCGUGCCAGCAGCCGCGGUAAUACGGAGGAUCCGAGCGUUAUACGGAUUUAUUGGGUUUAAAGGGAGCGUAGGUGGAUUGUUAAGUCAGUUGUGAAAGUUUGCGGCUCAACCGUAAAAUUGCAGUUGAAACUGGCAGUCUUGAGUACAGUAGAGGUGGGCGGAAUUCGUGGUGUAGCGGUGAAAUGCUUAGAUAUCACGAAGAACUCCGAUUGCGAAGGCAGUUCACUGGACUGCAACUGACACUGAGGCUCGAAAGUGUGGGUAUCAAACAGGAUUAGAUACCCGAGUAGUC